rnacentral:rRNA from 1 species
GCAGCAGCCGCGGGAAUACGGAGGGUGCAAGCGUUAAUCGGAAUUACUGGGCGUAAAGCGCACGCAGGCGGUCUGACAAGUCAGAUGUGAAAUCCCCGGGCUUAACCUGGGAACUGCAUUUGAAACUGUCAGGCUGGAGUCUUGUAGAGGGGGGUAGAAUUCCAGGUGUAGCGGUGAAAUGCGUAGAGAUCUGGAGGAAUACCGGUGGCGAAGGCGGCCCCCUGGACAAAGACUGACGCUCAGGUGCGAAAGCGUGGGGAGCAAACAGGAUUAGAUACCCGCGUAGUCCCUGUCUCUUAUAA